GCCCUCCAGUUCCUUGUCCGUCCGUUCCAAACACUGGCCCUAGUGGUUAUAAAAGGAGGUAAAGCGAAAUUGGAACUGACUUUCUUUUGCAGCACAUGAGCUAGUUUCAAACAAAA
rnacentral:snoRNA from 1 species